AGGAACCUCCUCUAAGGAUUCUAUGGACAGUCGAUGCAGGGAGUGGCUGCUCCCUGCAUCGGCGAUUUU
rnacentral:antisense_RNA from 1 species